ensembl:misc_RNA Metazoa_SRP Metazoan signal recognition particle RNA
GCUGGGUGUGGUGGUGUGUGCCCGUAGUCCCAGCUACUCAGGAGGCUGAAGCAGGAGGAUUGCUUGAGCCCAGGAGACUGGGGCUGCGGUGAGCUGUGAUUGCACCAUCGCACUCCAGCCUGGGCAACAGAGUGAGACUCUGUCUCAA